CACGUAGGGGGCGAGCGUUGUCCGGAUUUAUUGGGCGUAAAGAGCUCGUAGGCGGCUCAGUAAGUCAGGUGUGAAAACUCCAGGCUCAACCUGGAGACGCCACCUGAUACUGCUGUGGCUAGAGUCCGGUAGGGGAGCAUGGAAUUCCUGGUGUAGCGGUGAAAUGCGCAGAUAUCAGGAGGAACACCAGUGGCGAAGGCGGUGCUCUGGGCCGGAACUGACGCUGAGGCACGAAAGCCGUGGGGAGCAAACAGG
rnacentral:rRNA from 1 species